GUAGGUGGCAAGCGUUGUCCGGAAUUAUUGGGCGUAAAGCGCGCGCAGGCGGUUCUUUAAGUCUGAUGUGAAAGCCCACGGCUCAACCGUGGAGGGUCAUUGGAAACUGGAGAACUUGAGUACAGAAGAGGAAAGCGGAAUUCCACGUGUAGCGGUGAAAUGCGUAGAGAUGUGGAGGAACACCAGUGGCGAAGGCGGCUUUCUGGUCUGUAACUGACGCUGAGGCGCGAAAGCGUGGGGGAGCAAACAGGAUUGGAUACCCUGGUAGUCCACGCCGUAAACGAUGAGUGCUAAGUGUUAGGGGGUUUCCGCCCUUAGUGCUGCAGCUAACGCAUUAAGCACUCCGCCUGGGAGUACGGCCGCAAGGCUG
rnacentral:rRNA from 1 species